UACGGAAGGCAGCAGUGGGGAAUAUUGCACAAUGGGCGCAAGCCUGAUGCAGCCAUGCCGCGUGUAUGAAGAAGGCCUUCGGGUUGUAAAGUACUUUCAGUCGUGAGGAAGGUGUUAAGGUUAAUAACCUUAGCAAUUGACGUUAGCGACAGAAGAAGCACCGGCUAACUCCGUGCCAGCAGCCGCGGUAAUACGGAGGGUGCGAGCGUUAAUCGGAAUUACUGGGCGUAAAGGGCACGCAGGCGGUUAAUUAAGUUGGAUGUGAAAUCCCCGGGCUUAACCUGGGAAUGGCAUUCAAGACUGGUUAGCUAGAGUCUUGUAGAGGGGGUAGAAUUCCAUGUGUAGCGGUGAAAUGCGUAGAGAUGUGGAGGAAUACCGGUGGCGAAGGCGGCCCCUGGACAAAGGCUGACGCUCAUGUGCGAAAGCGUGGGGAGCAAACGAGGGAUUAGAUA
rnacentral:rRNA from 1 species